AGCAGCAGCCGCGGUAAUACGUAGGGUGCAAGCGUUAAUCGGAAUUACUGGGCGUAAAGCGUGCGUAGGCGGUGAGUUAAGUCUGCUGUGAAAUCCCCGGGCUCAACCUGGGAAUGGCAGUGGAUACUGACUCGCUAGAGUGUGUCAGAGGAUGGUGGAAUUCCCGGUGUAGCGGUGAAAUGCGUAGAGAUCGGGAGGAACAUCUGUGGCGAAGGCGACUAUCUGGGCCAACACUGACACUGAGGCACGAAAGCGUGGGGAGCAAACAGGAUUAGAUACCCGCGUAGUCCCUGUCUCUUAUAC
rnacentral:rRNA from 1 species